rnacentral:rRNA from 1 species
GAGUGGCGAACGGGUGAGUAACACGUGGGUAACCUGCCCAGAAGUAGGGGAUAACACCUGGAAACAGAUGCUAAUACCGUAUAACAGAGAAAACCGCAUGGUUUUCUUUUAAAAGAUGGCUCUGCUAUCACUUCUGGAUGGACCCGCGGCGUAUUAGCUAGUUGGUGAGGUAAAGGCUCACCAAGGCAGUGAUACGUAGCCGACCUGAGAGGGUAAUCGGCCACAUUGGGACUGAGACACGGCCCAGACUCCUACGGGAGGCAGCAGUAGGGAAUCUUCCACAAUGGACGCAAGUCUGAUGGAGCAACGCCGCGUGAGUGAAGAAGGGUUUCGGCUCGUAAAGCUCUGUUGUUAAAGAAGAACGUGGGUAAGAGUAACUGUUUACCCAGUGACGGUAUUUAACCAGAAAGCCACGGCUAACUACGUGCCAGCAGCCGCGGUAAUACGUAGGUGGCAAGCGUUAUCCGGAUUUAUUGGGCGUAAAGCGAGCGCAGGCGGUCUUUUAAGUCUAAUGUGAAAGCCUUCGGCUCAACCGAAGAAGUGCAUUGGAAACUGGGAGACUUGAGUGCAGAAGAGGACAGUGGAACUCCAUGUGUAGCGGUGAAAUGCGUAGAUAUAUGGAAGAACACCAGUGGCGAAGGCGGCUGUCUGGUCUGCAACUGACGCUGAGGCUCGAAAGCAUGGGUAGCGAACAGGAUUAGAUACCCUGGUAGUCCAUGCCGUAAACGAUGAUUACUAAGUGUUGGAGGGUUUCCGCCCUUCAGUGCUGCAGCUAACGCAUUAAGUAAUCCGCCUGGGGAGUACGACCGCAAGGUUGAAACUCAAAAGAAUUGACGGGGGCCCGCACAAGCGGUGGAGCAUGUGGUUUAAUUCGAAGCUACGCGAAGAACCUUACCAGGUCUUGACAUCUUCUGACAGUCUAAGAGAUUAGAGGUUCCCUUCGGGGACAGAAUGACAGGUGGUGCAUGGUUGUCGUCAGCUCGUGUCGUGAGAUGUUGGGUUAAGUCCCGCAACGAGCGCAACCCUUAUUACUAGUUGCCAGCAUUAAGUUGGGCACUCUAGUGAGACUGCCGGUGACAAACCGGAGGAAGGUGGGGACGACGUCAAAUCAUCAUGCCCCUUAUGACCUGGGCUACACACGUGCUACAAUGGAUGGUACAACGAGUCGCGAAACCGCGAGGUUAAGCUAAUCUCUUAAAACCAUUCUCAGUUCGGACUGUAGGCUGCAACUCGCCUACACGAAGUCGGAAUCGCUAGUAUUCGCGGGAUCAGCAUGCCGCGGUGAAUACGUUUCCCGGGGCCCUUGUACACACCGCCGGUCCCACCAUGAGAAGUUGUACCACUCAAGCCCGGGGGGGUAACCUUAGGAGCUAGCCGUUCUAGGGUGGG